ensembl:lncRNA
GUUAGGCAAUGGGACGGUCAGUCAGUCAGUCAGACAUGUUAGGCAAUGGGACAGUCAGUCAGUCAGACACACAUGUUAGGCAAUGGGACGGUCAGUCAGUCAGUCAGACAUGUUAGGCAAUGGGACGGUCAGUCAGUCAGUCAGACAUGUUAGGCAAUGGGACGGUCAGUCAGUCAGACACGUUAGGCAAUGGGACGGUCAGUCAGUCAGAUACGUUAGGCAAUGGGACAGUCAGUCAGUCAGACACAUUAGGCAAUGGGACGGUCAGUCAGUUAUACAUGUUAGGCAAUGGGACGGUCAGUCUGUCAGUCAGACAUGUUUGGCAAUGGGACGGUCAGUCAGUCAGUCAGUUAGACACGUUAGGCAAUGGGAUGUUCAGUCAGUCAGUCAGACACGUUAGGCAAUAGGACGGUCAGUCAGUCAGACAUGUUAG